GACGAACGCUGGCGGCGUGCUUAACACAUGCAAGUCGAACGGUGAAGCGCCUUCCUUUUUGGUGGGUGUGGAUGAGUGGCUAACGGGUGAGUAACACGUGAGUAACCUGCCCCCUUCUUCUGGAUAACCGCAUGAAAGUGUGGCUAAUACGGGAUAUUCUGGGGCUGUCGCAUGAUGGGUUGUGGAAAGAUAUUGUUUAGGUGGGGGAUGGGCUCGAGGACUAUCAGCUCGUUGGUGGGGUGAUGGCCUACCGAGGCCGUGACGAGUAGCCGGCCGGCGGGGGUGAGCCAUCACGAUGGUAGUGAAACCCGGACACCAACCAUCAGGGAGGGAGCGGUGGAGAGUAUUGAACAAUGGGUGAAAGGCUGAUGCAGCGAGGCCGCGUGAGGGAUGGGGGCCUUGGGGUUGUGAACCUCUUUCGCCAGUGAAGCACGCCUGCCUCGUAUGUGGGUGGGUUGACGGUAGCUGGAUAAGAAGCGCAGGAUAAAUACGUG
rnacentral:rRNA from 1 species